GACGAACGCUGGCGGCGUGCCUAAUACAUGCAAGUCGAACGCAGUGGGGACGGGUGAGUAACACGUGGGUAACCUCCCAUCAGAGGGGAUAACACUUGGAUACAGGUGCUAAACCGAUAUUGGUGGAUGGACCCGCGGUGCAUUGGCUAGUUGGUGGGGUAACGGCUCACCAAGGCCACGAUGCAUAGCUGGCCUGGGAGGGGGACCGGCCACACUGGGACGGAGACACGGCCCAGACUACUACGGGAGGCAGCAGUAGGGAAUCUUCGGCAAUGGACGAAAGUCUGACGCAGCCAUGCCGCGUGAGUGAAGAAGGUUUUCGGGUCGUAAAGCUCUGUUGUUAGGGAAGCGGUAUCUAACCAGAAAGCCACGGCUAACUACGUGCCAGCAGCCGCGGUAAUAC
rnacentral:rRNA from 1 species